AGCAGGCUCCAGGCUCGGCGCGGUCAGCACAGAGCCUGAUGUGGGGCUCAAACUCAUGAAACCGCGACAUCAUGACCUGAGCCAAAGUUGGAUGCUUUACCGACUGAGCCACCCAGACGCCCCCCAUACAGACAUUUUCAAAGUUGAGUGCGUUCGUCAGAUACAGCAGGCAAGCAGCAGCCUGUGCCUCCACUGCCUGCGGAGAGCUGGUGCUAACAGAAGCCCAGAGUGGUGGUUUCGCUUACAUAAUUCCAGCAUGACUCUCCUAAGCCUCUGGACUCCAGAAGCUGCCCACAGAAGAGAAACAGAAUGAUGUCUCCAUUAAGGAGGGGAUUUUAGCACAUUGCUAUUUUGGCCAGAGAAGCAUUUCAACAACUUUCUGCAAACUAAGAUUAAAAAAAACAACAGGUGA